rnacentral:rRNA from 1 species
UAGUACAACUCUAUGCGGUGGAUCACUCGGCUCGUGUGUCGAUGAAGAGCGCAGCCAACUGUGUGAAUUAAUGUGAAUCGCAGACUGCUUUGAACAUCGACCUCUUGAACGCACAUUGCCGCG